UGCACUUGCUCACCUUCCAUAAACCAGACAAAGGAUAAGAUGAUGAGGCUGUUCCUGCUGGGUCUCUUUCUUCUCUGCUUCUUAGGGGAUGGAAGUACGAGUUUCUUAGCAUUUUGGGAAAAGAAAGAAGUCCAGUGUGCUGUCUGCGACAUAUAUAAUCAUGGCAUCUGUCUGAAGGGUGAGGGUACCUGUAUUACAAAGUCAAGCAGAGGAUGCAGAAGCCAGCUAUUCUAUAUGUACUCUAAUGAUGGAAAUGGAUGGACAUAUUCUUAUGCUAAACUGGAAUGUUCUUCCAAGUGCCAACGUCCUAUAAUCAAAAGUUCCUUGAUGUAUGAAGUGAUCCGCUGCUGUGGAAAACCUUUAUGCAACAAACGUUUUUCACUUAUUCAAUAGAAGUGGGACCUUGUCCCAUCUCACUAUUAUCACCAUCUGUUAUCCUCUUCUUCUCCUGCCACACAGACCUCCCUGGCUGUCCCUAGUCCCGUUUCCCCCUUAGGUCCUUGACUGGCUGUUUAAUUGGAGAACAAAUAUACACAGAUUAAGCUAAAACUUCACCAUCUGAAAUUUUUGUACCUUCUUUAUGUUACCCUUUUUAAAAAAUUUACAAGUAAAAUUUUCUUUAAGCUCGCCUCAUUUCAAUGGAACAAAGAUAACAAUGAUUUUCAUUCAGGCCCAGGCUGGGCCAGAAAAGCUGAGGAUCAUCAGUAUUCCACAGGGGCCAGGCAGGGACUGGUAGCAUAAGAAGAGAGGGGUGAGUAUGAUAUCACUCUAAAAAGCAAAGGUAAAAAGAAUAAUUAUGUUACACAAAUGAGGUGAAAGAGCUAGAAAUGACAGAGGAAUUACAUGGGACAUGAGGACUGGAAUCCUACUCAGAUUGGGAAUAGAUGAAAGAAGGAACAAUACACAUAUAUCUAGAAAGGCAUAAAAAUCUCCUAAAUUCAUAAAGAAAUGAGGGAAGGAGAAAGAAUGGGGGUUAAUGGAAAGGUAUGUUCAUAAUGGGAAGGGGAUAAAGAUGAAGGGAAAGCUAAGAAGAGAGCUUUGGAGGCAGGGUAAGAGUAAAAGCAAGGCAAGGAAAUAGGUAGAAGUGAUGAGAUUCUCAGUAUCUGGAUGCCAUUAGCCGAGGGAGCUGGAGCAUUGAUGGAAUCAUUCCCUGAGGCAGGCAGGGAAAAGGCUCUGUAGGAGAUCAGUUUAGCUUCAUGGUCCCACCUGCUGCAGAGGCCGUCCAGGCAGAAAUUCAAGUUAUGUUAAAUCUCUGAGACCCAUCCUCUAUGGGGGUCAUAAGCAGUCCGGCUCUGUCCUGUCAGAAAUCCCAGUCAUAUCCCUGAAGUUAAAUUUCCCCUAUAAAAUUUGUCUAUGACCCAUGCUAUCUUUGCUGAACCCCCUUUAGAUCAGCCUCAGGAUGUCUUUCCUUCACUCUUCCCCCAUGCUCCAUGUUGUCUUUCCUCUCAUCUUCCACUAUUCUCUCUUCUUAACACCCAUCAUGUCUUAUGGUGUCUUUCUCCUUUUUACAGCUGACUAACUCAUUUAGGGUGCUAAAUCUCUUUUAGGAUUUAGCCUGCUAACUAAGGGCAUGCUCCAAUCUUUUGGGGUAUUUCCUUUCUCCUAGCUAAUCGUAAGUUCCACUAGGAAACUCACUCUUUCUAUCAUUAACUAUUAAACCCCCUUUCCUAUGUGUUCUGCCACUCUAUUUCAUAUUUACCACUCCUGGUGUCUAUUGUAUCUCUUCAUUUUAUCUGUAACUCUUCUAAAUACACCCACCUUUUGCCAAAGAUAAUGGCCAUUGUGAAUUCUUCAUAUGAUCAAAACCCAACAUUUGGUGUUCUCUUAAAGCAUGUCACUCAGUACUUACCACCACAUUUGCCGCAUCACCCACAUCAGAAAUAAAGCAGAGGAAUCAGCAGGGAUAGGAAAUAAGAGAUAUACACGAACACAAUAAUGAUCAGAAGUAGAGUUAUUAGUAAAAGAAGCAAUGGUAGUAAUCAUUAUCUCAGACAAAGUUAAAGCCAAAAUAUAUUUAAUGAAGAGAAAAAUAGGGAAACUACCCUAUAUGUCAAUCAUUAAUCAAUAAAAAUUUAGACUUUUAAAAUAACUAGUUAGUAUAAGGUUGGAAUAUUGCUGUAGGUGUAGGAAAUGAUGAGGUGGUGGACUUAGAAAAAUAUGAAAAGACUUGAGCCUAAAAUGGAUGAUGCUAUCUUCCUUCAGAGAAACAGAAGACAAGGAAGCAUAAUAGAACUUUAUAUAGACGUAUAUGAAUAUAUGUAUAUGAAUGAUCAUAGAUAUCUCUGUAAAUGUAUGUGUGUAUAUGUACAAAUAUAUUCAUGCUUAAUUGUAGCCUUCUUUGGGAGAGCAAGUGGUAUGGGGGAGGAAAGGGAAAAAAAGGAUAAAGUAAAAAGUGCACAGCAGAGACCAAAGAAAAGCUAGAAGGAAACAAAGAAAUAAUGAAUAGCUCUGAACACAGUGUGUAGUAUUUAGCAUAGAGAUUUUCUUGAAAUAGAAAUUUAUUUUCUCUUGGAAUGGGAAAUGCCAUCUGCAUCCAGAGUGAGAACUAUAAAGACUGAAUGUAGAUUGAGGAAAAGUAUUUUCAUCUAUUGUUGUUGUUUUUGUUAGCUUUUUCUUUUUAUGGUUUGUUUUUCCCUUUUGUUCUGUUUUUUCUUGCACAAAUGACAAAUGUGGACUGUACAUGUAUAACCUAUAUCAAAUUGCUUGCUAUCUUGAGUAAGGGAGGGAGGUAAAAAAAAGUUUGGAACACAAAAUCUUACAAAAAAUGAGUGCUGAAAACUAUAUAUAUUUGGAAAAAUAAAAUACUAUUGAGGAAAAAA